rnacentral:lncRNA from 1 species
ACUCUGUGGAAAAAGGCACACCAGUAAGAACAUUCAUCCUCCAAGUUGUUUAAACAGAUGGCUUCUUUUUGAAAGAAGAACAUAUUGUAAAAGAAAUUAAAUGGGAUUGAUCUCCAGUUGAUCCUCAUGGUAUGGGGGAAAUGGUGUUUUGGGCAGACUAUUUCAUGUGAUUAGAUGGGCAAUUUUCCACUUGUCUAAGACAGGAUUUGGGGGAUACCCCGGUAUAGGUGUUUGGUACUCACUCAUCUGAAAGAGACUUGUGCAUAUACUGUGAAAAUUCUCUUUGGAGCUAAAGAAAGGAAAGAAAUAUGAAUUAAAUACUACUCUUUCUUAGAAGUCAUUCAUGACCUCAGAUCCCCCCAGGUGGACCUACCUAUCUCUCUUUCUUCUUGAGUUCUUAGCUCUCACACAGGCACAAAGCAGGACAUACCAAGAUGGAAUUCUGAAUUGCAAUCAUAAUGUAAAAAUGUUGAGUUUUAAUCUUUUUUUUAUUUACCUAAAAUACAGGGUCAGCAAACUCUUUGAGGCGCCUUUUGUGACUAACACCUACCCUCUACUCAGCAAUCCAACUCACUUUCCAUGAGGGCAGAGGCAGGAGUACAGUGGGUCUGAGGGAUGGAAUGAAGUGGUCUGUUUUAUACUUACCUAGUAUUGUUUCUCAAUGUGAAAUGUCAGUAGUACAGUUUCUUAUUUUAAAGCAUAUUUUACAAUAUAGAAAAUUGCAUCUCACAUAUAUGCAGUGUAAAGAAUACUAUUACUCCUACUCUGGGUACCCAUCCCCAAGUGUUAAGUAAGAGAACUUUACCAGCCUAUUGAAAUUUCCCAUUUCUAUCGAUCAAUCUCUCUCUCUUCAUUCAUUUCUUAUUCAAAAACAUUUAUACAAAUGAGUACUAUGUAUCAAACACUGUCUAGGUACUGCAAAACAGUACAACAAAACACAGACAAAAAGCCCUGACUCUUGGAACUUACAUUUUAUAAAGGGAAACCUCUACUUAAAAUUUGGGUUGAUCUUUCCCUUUUCUACAUAAAUACAUAUAUCUCCAAGCAAGAUAUUAGUUUACUGUCGUACUCUCAAAUGUUCUUCUAUGCCUUGCUUUUUUCAUUUAAUAUAUUUAUGCAUGGAAUGCUAGAUCAUCCAUUUUCACUGUGACUGGACUUUUAUUAUGUACACACUUCACAGCAUAUCUGUUUUCUUGUUCAUGGAUAUCUUGAACUUGGGAUUAUCUUUAGUUUGGGGGGGUUGUUUUUUUGUUUGUUUGUUUUCUCUAUUACAAACUGUGUUACUAGGAAAUGGUACCAAACAGCACAUUUUUCUGUCUGGAUUCUUUUGUUUAACAUUAUGUUUGUGAGACACAUUUCUGUUGUGCCCAGUAAUUACUCAUUACUGUUCAUUAUUGUAUAGCUUGUAUAGUUAUGUAUAUAUCUAAUUUAAAAUUAUUUAUUUCAACAUUUGAGUUUUUCCAGUAUUUAUUUAAUGCCAUAUUUUUUAUUUUUUUACUAGAUUAUAAUUGAUUUACAAUGUUGUGUUAAUUUAUGAUGUACAGAAAAAUUACUCAGUCAUACAUAGACAUACAUUCCUUCUCUUAUAUUAUCUUUCAUCAUGGUCUGUCCCAAGAGACUGGAUAUAGCUCCCCAUGCAAUACAGAAGAACCUCAUUGCUUAUCCAUUCUAAAUGUAAUAGUUUGCAUCUACUAACCCAAACUCCCAGUCCAUCCUACUCCUUCCCGCCUCCCGCUUGGCAACCACAAGUCUGGUCUCCUUGUCCAUGAGUCUGUUUCUGUUUUGUAUAUAGGUUCAUUUAUGCCAUAUUUUAGGUUCCACAUAUAAGUGAUAUCAUGUGUAUUUCUCUUUCUGACUUACUUCACUUAGUAUGAUAAUCUUUAGUUGCGUCCAUGUUACUGCUAAUGGCAUUAUUUCAUUCUUUUUUAUGGCUGAGUAAUAUUUCAUUGUAUAUAUGUACCACAUCUCCUUAAUCCAUUCAUCUAUCAAUGGACAUUUAGAUUGCUUCUAUGUCUUGGCUAUGGUGAAUGGUGCUUCAGUGAACAUAGGGGUAUAUGUUUUUAAAUUAUAGUUUUGCAUGGCUAUACCCCAGGAGUGGGAUUGCUGGGUCAUAUAAAUAGUCCCUAAAUAGUUGAGAAGUUUUUACUGUAUUAAUAUUGUCAAUGUUUUCAAAGAGAUUUUUAUUUUGUUGAGCUUGUCUACUUAUUCUCAAAGGAAAAUUUGUCUAAAAUUAGCUAGUAUGCUAUUACAAGAAAGAGUACCAGUUAUUUUAUUGGAUUUUAAUUUGUAUUUUCUAUAUUUCAGAACUGUUUUCUGUCAUGGUUGUACCAGUUUACAUUCCCACCACAGCAUAGUAGGGUUCCCUUUUCUCCACACCCUCUCCAGCAUGUGUUAUUUGUAGACAUAUUAAUGAUGGCCAUUCUGACCAGUAUUUAAUUGUAGUUUUGAUGUUCAUUAUUCCAAUAACUACAGAUAUUGAGCAUCUUUUCAUAUGCUUACUGGUCAUCCAUAUAUCUUUGGAGAAAUGUCUAUUUAGGUCUUCUGCCCAAUUUUUAAUUGGGUUGUAUGAGUUUAAUGAGUUGAAUAAGUUUAAUGCCAUGUUUAUAUAUCUGAGUCUAAAGCUAUAUGUAAGUCCAGUUGUAACAGAUAUAGUCAAAUAAUUAUCCAAAGGGAUAAUACAAUUUGCUCUCCCAUUGCAAAGUAUGAGAGUAACCAUAGUGAUGGCUGUGUAUCACAUUGUGCUUUUAUUUUUCUUUUAUUUAAUGCUUAUUGAAGGUGAGCACUUUUAUAAAAGUUCAUUUGUUGUUCAACAUAUUUUGUGAAGUACCAGUCCAACACUUUUAUCCACUUUAUUAUGUUGAAUUGUCUGGCUAUUUCCUAUUGAUUUGAAAAAAAUAUAUAACACAGAAGUAUUCUCAAACACAUAAAAGUUAGGACAAAUGGGAUGCCAUUAAAUAGAAGUGGUAAUAACAGGCACAUUUGUCUUAUUCCCAGUCUGAAGUAAAAUUCAACAUUUCACUUACAUAUGACAUUAUUGAAGGUUUCAAAAUUUAUUUUCAGAAUAAGGAAGUUCCCCCUUGAUAAGUAGUUUAUUAUAUUUUAUCACAAAAGCAUGUAGAAUUUAUUAAGUGCUUUCUCUGCAACUAAUGAGAUAUACAUUUUCUCCUCCAUGCUCUUGAUCUGUUGAGUUGUAUUGAUUGAUUUUUUGAAUAUUAAUCCUAACCAUACAUUCCUGGAAUAAUUUCAGCUUUAUUGUAGAUAUGCUAGAUUCAGUGUUCUAAUACUUUGCUUAGAAUUUUUAAAAUAUAUUUUCAUGGGAAAGGUUGACUUGUAGGUUUACUUUCUUGGAAUAUCCUUGUAAGUUUUUGGUAUUAAGAUGAUUCUGGCUUCUCUUCAUCUGUACCUAACUUCUGUUAAGCCCAGUGAUUGGGUUCUUAAUCUCAGUUAAUUGUAUUUUUUUAAUUCUAAAGUUUCCAGUUGAUCCCACUGUAUAAUAUCCAGUUCUCCAUCAAUAUUCCUUCUCAUUAAUUAAUAUUUUAAUAUAUUUACCUUUAUUAUUUUAAUAUUCAUGUCUGAUAACAAAAAUAUCCGAUAUUCUAGGGGUCUGUUUUUACUAUUUACUCUUUUCUCUUAUGUAGAAGUCAAUUCUUAUCUUUUUGUGUUUCUCCCUGUUUCUGAGUGCUGAACAUUGGCUUUGAAAAGCUAUAGAAAUAAUUUGAAGUUCUGAACCAUUCAUUCCUUUCAUAUCAACAAAUUCCUUAAGGAGAAACGCAGUUCAGAUUUCAGGCUCACUUCUUUGGGAUUUCACUCCCUUUCCAACCCUAGUGUUGCAAGUUUUUACCGUAUUGAUAUUGUCAAUGUUUUUAAAGAGAUUUUUAUUUUGUUGAGCUUGUCUAGUUAUUCUCAGAAGGAGAAUUUGUUUAAAAUUAACUAGUAUACUAUUAACAGAGGAGCACCAGUUAUAUUAUUGGAUUUUAAUUUGUAUUUUCUAUAUUUCAGUUGAGUUGAGCUUUUCUUACUAGGCUUAUCAGCCACUAGCAUUUUUACUUAUGCAAGUUUCUAUUUAAAUAUUAGUUUCUUUUUAUUUUUAAGUUUUUUUUAGAGUUGAUUUACCAUUCUGCCAAUUUCUGCUGUCUAGAAAAGUGGCCUAGCCGUACACCUAUACACAUUCUUUCUCAUAUUUGUUUCUUUUUAUUUAUCUGUAUAAACUAUGUGUACCAUCAUAUAGGUUUUGUUUUCAUUGUGUAUAUGUUAAAUCUUUCUCUCUAGUUAUAGUUUUUUACUCUUUAAUUAUUUAUUUUGAUAGACUUAUGUAUGUUAAAUGUAGUCAUAUUCAUCGAGGUUUUCUCUUUGAGCUUUUAAUCUAAUUUAAGAAGACUUCCCUGUCUCUGAUGUCAUAAAGAUAUUCUUCUAUAUUUAUCUCUAGUCAUUAAAAAUUUUUUCUUUUAACUUUUGUUUUAAUCCAUUAGGUCAAGAUCCAUUUUCAUUUAUUUCCAUAUGGUUAAGAAGUUAUCCCAGAAUCAUUUACUGAAAUCAACAACUGACUCCAUUUGAAAAGCAUCUUAAUUUCAGGACGAUGUUGUUUCAGUGAACUAUGCUCCAAGUAUUGGAGGUCCCCAUCACCUUAGUGUUCAUUUCCUGUGUCCCCAAAGAAAGACCUCUUUUAAAACUCAUCUUCCCUCAAAUAGCCCUUGCUUUAAUUUUAGCUUUUCUCUCCUCAUUGUAUAAUCACUUGCCAAUCUGUGUCUCAUAGGUUGUUUGCUAUUUUAAAAUCCCCAAAGUGCAAAAAUAAUGCAAAUGGAAUGCAAAAUAAAACAAAUACUACAAAAUAUAUGGGCUCUUACCAACUGAGCAGAAUUGCUCUUAUUGUCCCAAAGGCAAUGAGAUAUAACAAAAGAAAGGAAUAUAAACAAGCAUGAUGACAUUAUAGAUGUCUCAAAAGAGAAGGGCUGGAGUUCCUGUCGUGGCACAGUGGUUAACGAAUCCAACUAGGAACCAUGAGGUUGUGGGUUCGUCCCUGCCCUUGCUCAGUAGGUUAACGAUCCAGCGUUGCCGUGAGCUGUGGUGUAGGUUGCAGACGCGGCUCGGAUCCUGCGUUGCUGUGGCUCUGACGUUGGCCGGUGGCUACAGCUCCGAUUCGACCCCUAGCCUGGGAACCUCCAUAUGCCGCGG